rnacentral:misc_RNA from 1 species
CCGGCAGACGUAUAGGAGCGGCAUCGGUGGCAGGCAGGGUUCCUCGUCCCUCGUUCCUCCUCCCCCCGCUGCACCACAGUCUCGCCGAUUAGGAGCGCCCGCGAAAGCGCGUCCAUUACUCGAGCACGUAUUUGGGAUAGAUAGUUUCCGCCACGCACGCACGCACGCACGCACACACACACACACACACACACCAAAAACAAAUGUAUUUAUGAAUUUCGUUUUUGCCCCUCAUUCCCUUGUAUUCAAGCCGCAGGUAGAUGCUUGAGUGGUGCGCCAACGCCAUCCCUCGCAUCGCUGGCAGACUCUUUUGAACGCUCCUCAAACAGGCGAUAGUGAGGAUUUGCCCCCCCCCUUCCCCACCUUCUGUGUGUGGUGAGCUUUUCUUUCUUUUUCGUUCCGUGUUGCAGUUUUGCCGGCCUGCAUCGUGUAUUUACAGUUCUAGAGCGUUGUGAGCGAGAGGGUCGCAUACAUCGCGCACAUGCAUCUCCUCGUUGAUUGUGGAUAGACGCUGCCUGUUUUGUUUUUCUUUCGCCCUUAUCGCACCUAGACAAAUCCUAAGUUGCAACGCUGAGAUGCAUCAUGGCACAGCAUCCAGACAAGCUCAAGUGGAAAGACGCGCAUCCGCACGGACUGUCGGCAUCCCAGUUUGGGAUGGCGCUGGGUUUCUGCGGUCGCGUCUCGGACUAUGUGCGCUACCUUCGCGACAUUGUGGGCACUGAGCACGAGUUCAAGGGAAACGCCUUUACGGCACACGGCACCCGCACAGAGCCCAAGGCUCGUGCGCUGUAUGAGCUUCUUACCGGCUGCCGCGUCUACGACGGCGGUUUCUUUGUGACGAGCGACCACAUCUUAGGCUGCUCACCUGACGGGCGAAUCUACCACCACGUUGGCGAGCGGCCCAUCGAGCAACAAGCAGGGCUGUCUGCGUCGGCCCUGACACGCCGCUUCCAGAGCUGCAGCGGCGGCUGCGGUGCCAGCAACGGUGUCAGCAUGAUGGAGCGGCAGCGGCGAGGCAGCAGAUGCUCUGUGCACGUGCCGUUCAAGAGCAAGCGGCGACCACGUUCACCACUGUCCGCGGUCUCUAGCCGCAGGUCGAACAGCUCUGGUGCCCUUGCUUGCGACGACGACGAAAGCACCAGCUGCAAAUCUGGCAGCACUCGCUGCUCCACGGAUGGGAGAUCUGCUAUUGCUCUAACGCAGAGCCAUGCGAGCAUUGAUGGGACGCUCUCGACGCCGUUGGGGUCACCUUCCCAUCACAAGGUCCGGCUGCUGGAAAUCAAAUCCCCAUUUAGAGCGCUGUACAACUCCACGAAGCCCGGCUACCAGCCCUUCGGUAUCCCCAUGCACUACAUGUGCCAAAUACAGGGCCAGCUCGCCAUCGCCGACUGUGAAGAGUGCGACUUCUUUGUCUACCUCGACCAUCCCAUGUGUCAGGUGGAGGGGUGGCGCGUGCGCCGCUCGCGUGCCUUUUGGGCAUGGGCAGAGCCAAACUUGCGUCGCGUGUCGAGCUGGGUGAAGGACGGCCCGCCGGACUGGCUGAAUCGGUCGUUUGCCUUCACCGAGUUCGACUUCCGCACGAUUGAGGUGGUGCCGCUCGUUUUUCCAUUUGACAUCACGGCGAACGCUGCACUGACAGACCCGCGUUCUUUCGCCUUUUUCGCGCAGUUUGCCAACCCUUUUGAGUCCCUUGACCGACGCCGAGAGGCCCGCGGCAAUGACGACGCGCAGGCGCAAGCGCAGGACUGGUGUUUCGCCUACGCAGGGCUGGCCUGGGCGGACAUAACCGAGUACGAGCGCAUCGCUGUUGCGGCACAGACGCCUGCGGUGCGGCGGCUCUUUGCGCCCGCCGAAGCAGACACAGAUGACACGGAAGCCCUCGAGGCAAAAAUUGAGCUAUGGAGCCAUCUGUCGUCGUGGCGGCGAGCGCUGGAGGUGGAGGGCGUGUUUGAGGAGAGUGCGACGGCGGUGUUUUGGAAGGAGUGGACACGCACGGCCACGGCCGGCCGCGAUCCGGUUGUAAAGGUAACUCUCAGCGUCCCGUGUGACUGGGAUACCGGACGAGUAGAGACGCGGUGCAGCUUGCCGUCGGUACCUCGUACUCAGGGCGAUGCCCUGGACUCAAGGUAUGACACGGCCUUUAUCCACUUCCACCAGCGUCUCUUCUUUGCGUCCUUGCUAGGUGACGACGUGGCCGAUCCGUGUGAGCGCGCAACGUCCGUGACGGCACCCGGAGCGGCGAAGCCGCCGCCGCACGCUGCCCUGUCGAACCUGGUUCCCUUCCUCUCCGAGUCGGUGGUUUCGUCGUCGAAGAGAGAAGAGCUGGAGCGCCCGGCAAGUGGCCCGGCGGCGACGUGCGUUCAGGCAUAUAGUACUGCCUCUUCCUUUGUUGGCAUGGCGGCACCGUCUCGCCGAGGGGCAUCCUCCGGCGGGACGCCAUCCUCGUCUGUGGUGUGCUUCUCACCGAGAGAGUGCUCCCCAUCGCAGCAGCGCGUCGUCUCGGCACUUUCGGAGCAUCUCUGUCACUGUCUAUCGCCGCUCCAGUGCCGACUUCACAAACACGCAGAGGAGCGCAACCCUGCCGAGCUUUCUGCACUUGCUUCGGAUGCUGUUGCCGCAACGCACCAUGCAGCAGUGCUGCAGCGCGCAUCGGUCCCGCUGCCUGAGCUGGCCUCCCCUCCAGCCUUUCUGCCUUCAAAGCGGCCGUGCCUUGUGUGCGAGAUAUCGGUGCAGGAACUACUGGAUGUUAUUCGAUUCGCGAAUGACUGUGAGGGAGUCGUUCUCGUCUCCGAUUCCCAGGCGCCCCUCUGCUACUACGAAAAACUACGCGACUUGAGGCCUCCCUCGAUGAGUGGCGCUGCGGACGGGACAUGGUCGCCGCCUGGCUCUACACUUCUCGUUGGAGAGACCGCGGUGAUGCAGCAGCUUCUCCAUACGAGCGCGAAGGCAUCGUUCGGGCGGCCAUCCGCACUGAGUCCGCUUCAGCUUGUAUGGGAUCAAGUAAGCGCCCGCACACGUCCUCCUGCUUCUCUCGUUCCUUGCUUUGUGGAGUGCACCGCGGGCUCGUCCUCGCAUUUGCGCGAUACGAUAGAACACCUGGGAGGCACCCCGUGUUUUCUCGUGCGUGCUGCCGCGGAUGCCACCAGCGUGCUGAGACAGACCAAGGACCUGAUCCGAGAGUGGGGUACGGGAGCCUGCCGUCGCCGGCGUGUCGACGAUGCAAAGAGCAGGCUAGUGUAACAGGAACUGGAUGGGGUGGCGUAGCCACUGCCUGAGGCAGCAGCGCUCCUUUCAGGGGUAACGGUGUUCCUGGCUGUGGGUGUCAAACCGCGGGCGUGUAGUCAACUUUACUGAUCAUCGUGAGUGUCUGUGCAGCAACCUCGAAAGAGUGUUCCCCCCCCCCCGGCAGGCAUCAGCGGGUGGCGCUUUUCAUGUCGAGCUUGCUGUCGCCUGGGGGCCCCGUGCGGCACCGACUAAGGCCACUAAAAGAGCGCUCGAUGACACGCGGCACCGUCUUGGUGCGAGAGUGACAAGGAAACGACUGCUUUGAGGCCAAGCGUGAAACCGACGCGCGCCCCUUCCUUCUCCUCUUUUUGGCAGCAGAGGGUUCAAGAGAGAGCACAGCGUGCACUUCCGAAUUGUCGACUGCUUUGCCCUUCGACUGCCGCCUCGCUCAACCCUUGCGGCCACUAUACAUUCCCGUUCUGCCACCCCUCUUCACUCUCUCCAUUACACAAACAAG